rnacentral:rRNA from 1 species
CCUACGGGUGGCUGCAGUGGGGAAUAUUGCACAAUGGGCGCAAGCCUGAUGCAGCCAUGCCGCGUGUGUGAAGAAGGCCUUCGGGUUGUAAAGCACUUUCAGCGGGGAGGAAGGCGUUAAGGUUAAUAACCUUGGCGAUUGACGUUACCCGCAGAAGAAGCACCGGCUAACUCCGUGCCAGCAGCCGCGGUAAUACGGAGGGUGCAAGCGUUAAUCGGAAUUACUGGGCGUGAAGCGCACGCAGGCGGUCUGUCAAGUCGGAUGUGAAAUCCCCGGGCUCAACCUGGGAACUGCAUUCGAAACUGGCAGGCUAGAGUCUUGUAGAGGGGGGUAGAAUUCCAGGUGUAGCGGUGAAAUGCGUAGAGAUCUGGAGGAAUACCGGUGGCGAAGGCGGCCCCCUGGACAAAGACUGACGCUCAGGUGCGAAAGCGUGGGGAGCAAACAGGAUUAGAUACCCUAGUAGUC